UACGUAGGGUGCGAGCGUUAAUCGGAAUUACUGGGCGUAAAGCGUGCGUAGGUGGUUUGUUAAGUCUGAUGUGAAAGCCCUGGGCUCAACCUGGGAAUUGCAUUGGAUACUGGCAGGCUAGAGUGCGGUAGAGGAUGGCGGAAUUCCCGGUGUAGCAGUGAAAUGCGUAGAGAUCGGGAGGAACAUCUGUGGCGAAGGCGGGUCUCUGGACAGUUCCUGACGCUGAGGCACGAAGGUCAGGGGAGCAAACGGG
rnacentral:rRNA from 1 species